UACGAGGGGGGCAAGCGUUGUCCGGAUUUAUUGGGCGUAAAGAGCGUGUAGGCGGCCAUACAGGUCAGCUGUGAAAACUCGAGGCUCAACCUCGAGACGUCGGUUGAAACCGUAUGGCUAGAGUCCGGAAGAGGAGAGUGGAAUUCCCGGUGUAGCGGUGAAAUGCGCAGAUAUCGGGAAGAACACCCGUGGCGAAGGCGGCUCUCUGGGACGGUACUGACGCUGAGACGCGAAAGCGUGGGGAGCGAACAGG
rnacentral:rRNA from 1 species